rnacentral:rRNA from 1 species
AUCAUGGCUCAGAUUGAACGCUGGCGGCAGGCCUAACACAUGCAAGUCGAGCGAGAAAGGUCUUCGGACUGAGUACAGCGGCGGACGGGUGAGUAAUGCGCAGGAAUCUACCUGGUAGUGGGGGAUAACUCGGGGAAACUCGAACUAAUACCGCAUACGCCCUACGGGGGAAANCGGGGGACCUUCGGGCCUCGCGCUAUCAGAUGAGCCUGCGUAGGAUUAGCUUGUUGGUGAGGUAAAGGCUCACCAAGGCGACGAUCCUUAGCUGGUCUGAGAGGAUGAUCAGCCACACUGGAACUGAGACACGGUCCAGACUCCUACGGGAGGCAGCAGUGGGGAAUAUUGCGCAAUGGGCGAAAGCCUGACGCAGCCAUGCCGCGUGUGUGAAGAAGGCCCUUGGGUUGUAAAGCACUUUCAAUUGGGAAGAAAGGUUGCGUGUUAAUAGCACGUAGCUGUGACGUUACCUUUAGAAGAAGCACCGGCUAACUCCGUG